CGCCUCUGCAGCUCCAGCUCCCCCUGGCCUCCCGGGAACUACAAGUCCCAGGGGGCCUGGCGGCGGACGGAGGACGGAAGAG
rnacentral:pre_miRNA from 1 species